rnacentral:rRNA from 1 species
GCUUAUGACCAUACCAAGUUGAUAAAGUUUGCUCUUGGCAGCUAAGCAGCGUUAGCCCUGGUUAGUACUUGGCUGGGAGACUGCCUGGGAUUACAGGGUUCUGUAAGAU